rnacentral:snoRNA from 1 species
AUCCUUCCUUCUUGGCGCUCCUAUCGUAUGAAGUUAGAAGUGUAUGUAGUGGAAGGUAUAUCAUAUCCCUUUUGGGUGUUCGGGUCUCCUUCGGUGCCGUUGAAGUUGAAAGUCGAACGGUGUCAUCCUCUGGAUUCGAGACAUUC